GUAAAUUUAACUUAAAAGUUAAUAAACAUUGGUUUUGUAUUCCCUAAGACUUCAUGGAGCUUCCUAUUCCUCCUCCUCAGGUGCUUACAUCAAGACAGGGGCAAUGGAGCUGGUUUCAGCCUGCCAGGUGGCUGUGCAUUUGGGCUUGGUGGAGAAGCUCUGGCUAGUGGCAGUUGCAGUCUGGUUUGCGAGAUGGUUGGAAUGACACAAUACAAGAGAAUUAUUUCAGUGUCACUGACCGAUGAAAGUUGUGACUGUAGCAGAGAGAUCUCUCAACAUCCUUUGGACACUCUCAGCAAGACUGUGAAGGUUCACCUGGGAGGUCUCUAGGGGAAAAUCAACAUGCUGUGACAAAGAGACUCCGUGUGAAUUUAGUGCCUUAGCAAAGUCACUGGGUUGGACUAGAGUCUGCAUUUUCAAAUUUGCUCAUGCUACUACUGAGGAAAUGGAGGAUGACACUGCAAGAGGAUGGUGAAAAUACAAGAUGAAAAGAGGC
ensembl:lncRNA